rnacentral:rRNA from 1 species
AUUGAACGCUGGCGGCAGGCCUAACACAUGCAAGUCGAGCGAGCGGCGGACGGGUGAGUAAUGUCUGGGAAACUGCCUGAUGGAGGGGGAUAACUACUGGAAACGGUAGCUAAUACCGCAUACCAUCAGAUUGGCCCAGAUGGGAUUAGCUAGUAGGGGGGGUAACGGCUCACCUAGGCGACGAUCCCUAGCUGGUCUGAGAGGAUGACCAGCCACACUGGAACUGAGCCCCGGUCCAGACUCCUACGGGGGGCAGCAGUGGGGAAUAUUGCACAAUGGGCGCAAGCCUGCUGCAGCCAUGCCGCGUGUAGGAAGAAGGCCUUCGGGUUGUAAAGUACUUUCAGCGGGGAGGCGUUACCCGCAGAAGAAGCACCGGCUAACUACGUGCCAGCAGCCGCGGUAAUAC